AUUUAGAUGACAUUUAGGUGAAACUUUGGACUUAGAGUUGGUACUGGAAUGAGUUAAGACUUUGGGAUGGGGCUACUGGGAUAAAAUA